rnacentral:RNase_P_RNA from 2 species
UCAAGGGGAAAGUCUACAAGUAUCUAGCAAUACCCCAUUGGAAAGUCUUCGUCAAAGGCCGACUAGUUCUAGAUGGACAACCUCAUAAAGAGGUGUGGGGCACUAGAAAUGGGGUCGGCGAGUCGCAUCUUCGGCAAAAGAUGGUCUAUUUCAGACUAGAUGCCAGCCUGCGACUGUUUCAUAGUUGGAAAGGUCCACGGCCGGCUAGGUGAGUGUAAUCAGCGAAGUCAGAACUCAAUUCAGACUACUCUUCCCCCAGA